rnacentral:rRNA from 1 species
AUUGAACGCUGGCGGCAUGCCUUACACAUGCAAGUCGAACGGUAACGCGGGGCAACCCUGGCGACGAGUGGCGAACGGGUGAGUAAUACAUCGGAACAUAUCCAGUAGCGGGGGAUAACCUAUCGAAAGAUUGGCUAAUACCGCAUACGAUCUACGGAUGAAAGCAGGGGACCGCAAGGCCUUGCACUAUUGGAGUGGCCGAUGUCAGAUUAGCUAGUUGGUGGGGUAAAAGCCUACCAAGGCGACGAUCUGUAGCUGGUCUGAGAGGACGAUCAGCCACACUGGAACUGAGACACGGUCCAGACUCCUACGGAGGCAGCAGUGGGGAAUAUUGGACAAUGGCGCAAGCCUGAUCCAGCCAUGCCGCGUGGGUGAAGAAGGCCUCGGUUGUAAGACCUUUGUCAGGAGAACGGUGAGUUCGUAUAAAGACUUGCUAAUGACGGAACC